rnacentral:lncRNA from 1 species
UGUGUGAUUUGCCACCAUCUUAGCCUUCUUCACAUCACAUUUCAUGAAGCUUUGCCAAGUUGGAAACAUGUAUACGCUGUGUGGGAAACUUGUUGCAUUUGGAGCAUCAUAUUUGAAAACUACACAUGGAUAAAUAUCAAAUAUCAACAUCAUAUAAUAAUUUGUCCCGUAAGUACAAUCAAAUUGUAAAAUGCUAAAUGAAUGUGUUAGAGCUUACUGAGUAAUGUAUAAAUAUUAAUUUAUAAAAUAAUAUAUAUGCCUCAAUGAUUUAUUUUAUAUAUUAAAGUGAAGCUUACUGAGAGUAUCAUUGACGUAAAAAGGACCAUUCUUGAUAGCCCAAUCUGAAUAGUUAUAGCCAAAAUGCCAAUUUUGAGAGCCACCAACAAUGAUCUUCUUAGGUUGUUGUUCUGUCUUAUUUAUUUGAUGAUGAUGGUUUCCAAAUCUGGACCACCAAUCAGUGUAGUUGAAAUUGCCAAAGGAGGGCCAGUCUUUGUUUGCCACAGUAACUGUAAACAUUGAAGCGCUUAUUAUAACUAGUAAUAAGGUGAGGACAUGAACAAUGUUUGUGGUGAAGGCCAUAUUGUCUUAGAUGAUUCUUGUCUCUUAGGGAGUUUGUUAUGCUUUGGUUGGAGUUAUAAAACGGGUUUAUAUAGAGGUUCGUGUGACAGGAAAUUAAAGAGUUACGGCAUGGAAUAUACAUGGUGGUGUAGAAUGGCCAAAUUAACUUUUAAUUAGUCUUCAUAUAAGUGGGGUAGAAUUUGGAAACAAGUUGAAUACAAUGUAGCAAGUAGCAAUGUUGGGUAGGAGAGUAAGACAGUUAAAUAUGUUGACUAGAAUAAUGUUACUAACACUCUUUUUAAUACUUAUUAUCUGGUUGGUUUAAACCAUUGUGAGUUUAAAUUUUGAAAAUUGAACCCACAAAAAGUGGUGAGACAUACAUUGAUUUGAUUUAAUAAAAGAGUGAAUGUUAGAGAGUGUGUUGAAAAGAGAGUGUUGUUAUCAUUUCUUAUGUUCAUAGAUUGUUAAUUAUGUUUUGAUGCUAGGAAUAAUUAUAAUUACUCUUGCAUAUUUCUUGUAAAAAAUCUAUGGCCAUUUAUGCUAAGUGAACCAAGGUCUACGAGAAGAGCCCGCACUCUUACAAAAUGGUAAAUCAAUGUUUAAAUUUGAACCAAAAGAGAUAGGAUUUAAUCUCCAACAUGUUUUAAAUAGAAUUAUUUUUGAUAAAGGAAACUUAUGAAAAAUUGAAGGGAUUUUGUGCACCUAUAAGUAAAAAGUGGUUCAAAGUUAAGUUGUUUAUAUCUACCACUUAUGUAUUGGUGUAGAUGUAUAACAAUGUAUUUAUUUAUAUAUUUAUCUAUUCAUUUACUUAUUUUCCUUUUGGUUUGUUUCUUAAGCAAGCUAGCUAUUAUCCAGAAUUUAAAGAGAAUUGGUUGGUAAUGGUAUUUGACUUGGUAGACAUACGGCAACACAAAUGGAAUAUUGGGAAUUAUUAUGAGAAAUGGUCAAAUGGGGUCGUGUUGCUAUUAUUAGGUUUGAAUUCUAUGAGGUCAAAGCAAGUGUUUCUUACUAUUAUUGCACAUUUAACUGAAUCUAGUUGGUAGGAAAUUUGACAUCUACAAAUUUGGAAGAUAUUCCAUGACUAAAAGUAAAAUGAAAUACAGGCCAUGAAUUAUUUUUCUUCUCCCAAUCCCCAUGCAUUCCGCAGAACCAGAAAUUUUGAAUGGUGAAGCACCAUAUACAUCACAAUUGCUUCCUACGAUUUGUCUUUUUAAAAAAAAUAAGAUAUUGAAUGAUUUCUGAUUUUCAAUCUCAAUAAAAAAUCACUCUCUCUAAACAAUAAUUUAACCAUAAUGGAUGGUGAGGUUUGAUAAAAAUUAUUUAUUCUAAUAAGUCGUUUCGUUUGUUUUUCUACAAAGAGGAUGAAAUGCAAUUAGGGUUGAGAUUCUGAACUCGUUAAAUGAAUCGUUUCAGUUUAUUUUUCUUCAAAACCUCCAAUUUGAGAAGAAUAGAAAAGAAGCAUAAGAGAAGGGCUCUAGAGGAAUUUUUCUAAAUCCCAAACUCUUAUUUAUUUAUUUUUUUAAAGAAAAAACUAGUAAACAAGGGUAUGACCAUAAGUACUUAAGAGGCUUCACCUAAUAACCAAAAACCCAACCGCAAACAUAAAUUAUACACAAAAUAUUUUGACUUUGUGUGUCUAGAGUAGAAAAAAUAUUAUGACCUUGUGAGUUUAGGGUAGACAAAAAUUAACAUGUGAGAGAUUGCUUCCAACAAAAUGCAGGGCAAGAAGCAAUAAUGAGAACUUUGUGCAGACAGAGCUACACAAUCUUGUGUGUGGCUCCGCCCUCAAUGUGUAGGAUACUAUCUAUAUUGUGAGCUUAGGCCAAAAUAAGAUUAAAAUAUCUUCAUUUUAAACUAGGUAAAAUGAUUAGCAAAAAGACGGGAACUUACGUGUUUGUUUUUUUUCUCUUUUUAUUGUGUUAACACGUGUAAAUUGUGAACGAUAUUUUAUAUGAAAUUUUAAUUUUGAUUAAAAUUAUACAUAUAGAUAUUUGUGAAUUUUAAAUUGUAAUAAAUCAAAUAAAUCAUGUUUAUCUUUUUCGAUGACAUCAAUAAUAUAACAAAUAUAAUAUAAAUUCUUAUUUUUUUUCAUAACAUAAAUGAUAAAAUACUACAUAUAAAUUGAUAGGAUAUAACUAUUUUUAAUUUGAGGAAUGUUAUUUGAACAAUCAAAGGAUCACAAUUGCAAAGGGGCUAAAUCUUAGGGGGCAAAAUUUUCAUUUUUUUUAUUAGGGGGUCAAAAUCGCAACAUUAGCAAACUUAGGGGGUCAAAACUGUAGUUUAGCCAAGAUAAUUUGCGAAAGUUUUGGGCAAUGACAGAAAGAGCUAUAAAGUGAUUAUCAAGCAUUCUCUUGAGAAAGAGUGCUGUGAAUAAUGCAGGUUCUGAUUUCUGAAGGCAACAACAUAUCAUCACCCUUAUGAACUUGAAAUCUUUUGUGUUGAAGGAACAUAGUUAUGGGAUCCGUAUGGUAUAAGUGUGGAGCUUGAAAAGAGAGACAUUGGUCCCUACAAGCAUUUAGGUGCAAUUGAUGCUAAAUCUUUCAAUGCAAGUCACAAUAGAGAAACCUCAUCAAAGCUUCAUUUAAAGGAAUCAAUUUUGAAUCUGUCCAAGAUGAAGUUAGGAAGCACAAUAGCACUAUUGUAAGUGAAUCUGUCCAGAAAAAGUAAAACCAAUUGGUGCCAAUGAAAUAAGGCAUCUCAACAAGAAUGAUCUCUAUAUCUAUGAUUGAAUCUUGAGUUAAUUAGGUGAACGAUAUGCACUCCACUCUAACUUGCUACAAGAAUUCACCACAAUCUCUUAUAUUGACAAAUCAUGACUUUUCAAAUCAAAUUAUACACAUAUUCUUCACAAGGAAUGAUGUUUUAAUUAGUUAACUGAAAACAAUGCAACGAUAAGAUCUGAAGAAAAUAAAUGAGGAAUUUACAAAUCUGGAUAAAGAGGUAAACAGUUUGGAAAGUGAAAAAAAUAGUAUCGUGAAAACAAGAGAGAAAUCACUAAUAAUUUUCACUCACUUGUUCUAACAGUUUCUCCCUUAUUUCCGCAAGACUUAUUAUUUUUUGGCAUGUCUCUUUUCUUUUAUAUCUUGUUCAACAUUUGAUGGUCUAUCCAAGGUGGGACUUAUAAUUUACAACACUUCAACAAUGUUUUGUUUGGUUCAAAGGUUUCUAUACUUACUUGCACACUGUAUUGAUUGCAUUAUUGCAUUUCAACCUAGGGAGUGGCUGGUCUGCAAGAGGAUUUUACCUCCUAAAUUAGGACAAAAAACACCUCUUUCUAUCUUUUCCAUUCUCAUUUAGGGUAUGGUGGCUGGAUAUAUGGGCGAUUCAUGAGUUUAUUUUAAGCGAUAUUAUAAAUAUUUUAUACAACAUGUGGAUCCAUAGCUUAGUGCAAGAUUUAAAAUACGUGAGAAAUUUUAAUUUGGCAGGGUAUUAGAAAUAGCAUAGUUUUUUAGAAAACCAGUAUGAAGCCAAAAAAAAACAGUUAAGAAUGGGAUAUGAUCAAUAUCAAAUUUCAAUUAAUUCAACUUAAGAUUGACUGUAUUCGAAAAACUAAAUAGUGUUUCAUUUUUAGCCAAGCAUCUUUAUUGAAAAAGCACUUAACAUGACUUGAAGCUAACAUUUUCUAUGAUGAUCACGUGCAAGAGUUGAAGCUAGAUGAUAUUAACAAGGUCAAACAAUCUCCAAUUCAAAAAAAUGGAAAGAAUUAUGCUAUUUCUUAAUUGUAAGAAACGUGAGAAGAGAAAUUUAUUUAGCUCUUCUUGUGCCAAAGUGAGUUUAAUAAAAUCAUUUGUUGUUAAAAAAAAAAACCAUUUAUAUUAUAGUGAGAAAGAAAGCUACAAAUUAAAAAUUAUAUCUACCGAUUUAUAACUUUUUGGCACAUUAAUAUGUUAAAUCAGGAUACAAGAAUAAGAAAACUCGAUUUAUUUUAAUUUAAUGGAACAUAUAUUGAAAAUUAAAAGAAAACUAUAACAUUCAGAAGUUGAAGCCAGCAAUUCCAAUUUUCCAAAAGCUAGCUAGCUUAGGGCAAGUUGUUGGUAAUGAACAUUUUUUUUUCAAGGCCAUGAUGGCAAGAAAGGACGAAGCAUUGGCAUAACCGUAAACUUCAUUUGUCCAACGUUGCAAUGUAAUCCAUUUUUCUCACCACAUGAAAAGUAAUAAGGCUUCCAUUUGUUUAACACGAACUUGAAUCCCUCUCCAACACCUUGUGUGUGAUUUGCCACCAUCUUAGCCUUCUUCACAUCACAUUUCAUGAAGCUCUGCCAAGUUGGAAACAUGUAUACACUGUGUGGGAAACUUGUUGCAUUUGGAGCAUCAUACUUGAAAACUACACAUGCAUAAAUAUCAAAUAUCAACAUUAUAUAAGAUUCAUGCCGUAAGUACAAUCGAAUUGUAAAAUGCUAAAUGAACAUUGGAGUAUAUGUUAGAGCUUACCGAGGGUAUCAUUGAGGUAAAAAGGACCAUUCUUGAUAGCCCAAUCAGAGUAGUUAUAGCCAAAGUGCCAAUUUUGAGAGCCACCAACAAUGAUCUUCUUAGGUUGUUGUUCUGUCUUAUUUAUUUGACGAUGAUGGUUUCCAAAUCUGGACCACCAAUCAGUAUAGUUGAAAUUGCCAAAAGAGGGCCAGUCUUUGUUUGCAACAGUAACUGUAAACAUUGAAGCGGUUAUUAUUACUAGUAAGGUGAGGACAUGAACAAUGUUGGUGGUGGAGGCCAUUUUCUGAUUCAAUCUUGUUUCUUAGCUGCUUUCUAAGUUGUAAAUAAAGCAAGGGAGUGUGUUUUUUUGAGAGAAGUAAGGGAGUAUGUUAGUGUUGUGAUUUGGUAAGAGUUAUAUGAAGGGGGUUUAUAUAGAGGUGCAAGCGAUAGAAAAUUGAAGCGUUAGGCAAUAGGCAUGAAAUAUAUGUGGUGGUGUAGGAUGACCAAAUUGACUUUUAAUUAGUCUUUAUAUAAGUGGGGGUAGAAUUUGGGAACAAGUUGAAUAUAACAUUGUUGUUUUUGGAUAGGAGAGUAACACAAUUUACAUAGUUACAAAAUACCAUAAGAAGAUAGAUUUAUUUAAAAUAAAUGGUUAAUGUUUUGCAUUUUUGUGGUUAAUAAAGUAAUUCGAUGAGAUUUAUGAAUAUAUGUUAAAAAAAAGUACCACCAAAAUAUGAACGAUUUAUUAAUUUUUCUCUAUAUUUUCUACCCCGAAGCCUUCCCUCCAAAGGAUAUGUUUGACGUUUUAAGACGGGAAAACUUUGGAAAAUAGGAAGUAGAAGGAAUGAAGAGUUUUGGGAGGAAAAUUGUUUGGAGUGUUUAUAUUUUUCUUCAUAAUAAAAAAAUUCCUAAUUUAAAGAAACUCAUAAAUACAUUUGAUGAGGAUGUUUAAGGAUUUUAGGUUAGGGUUUAGAUAAUUUUUUCAAAUUAUUUUUAUGUUGUUAUAAUACUCUAAAUUUUUUAAAUAUAUUAAUCAUUAAUAUUCUUUCAUGUCAUUUCUCUAAAUAUACUCUUUCCCAUAAGAUGGAAGAAUUCUAUUUCUUUCCACUCUUUCUAUUAUCAAACUCUAAAUUGCGUUAAUUUGUUUUGUGUUGUACAUGGGGAAUGGUAAUUAAGUUGAAUUGAGACAUGAUCUCAAGGUUAAAAAAUAACUUAUUUGCCAGGAGUGAAAAUAAAAAGUAUGCAAAAACAACUAAAUAUCAACUGAAAAUGUCAAUAUUGUUAGACCGCAAACCUUAACGCGAGUUCGAACUUAAAAAUUUGCAAUUGUUAUGUGAUGUUUGUCACUUUAUCUACAAACUCAAAAAACUAAAUAAUUUAUGUAAUAUUUGAGAGAUAAAAUGAAUCUUUUAAAAUAUAAGUCAUCAAUCAAAAUAUAUUAUGAAAAUAAAAUAAGGGGCUACAUAUUUAGCAAAUCAAACAUUUUCUGCAUCAAUUGACAGAAAUGAUCUUUGGGCAACGUUUGAAAAUUAAAGACCAAAAUAAUUCUUUUAAAAGAUAAAGUAAAAUAAAUUUUAAAAAUAAGAUAAAAUACCAAAAGUAGCAUCGUAUGAGAUGGAAGUUGCUAUUAUGGCCUUUGAAUUUUAUGAUGGUAAAGCCAAUGUUUCUUACCAUUAAUGCACAUUUAACUGAAUCUAUACUGGGGGGGUAGGAAGUUUCAAAUACAAAACUGUAAAUAUUCAACAUGAUUUGAUUUAAUAAUGCUGAAUUAAAUACACGCCUUUGACUGACGUGAUGAUGACGGCUUGGUGGCAUGAAUUAAAUUUGAGCACAAGUAACAUGAUUGUCCAAAAUAUGAUUUCUGAAAAUAUUUCCAAAAUCUCUUGAGAAUGAGUGCUAUCAAAAAUGUAGGUUCUGAAGGCAGCAACUUAUCAUCACCAGCAAUGCAAGGCACAAUAGAAAAACUACAUCGAUGACUUGCCUUCAUUGAAUGGAAGCAAUUUUAAAGAUUGCAAACAAUUUUAUUUUUAAUCAACAUAAUUUAUUAGACUAACAGACCCGUACAAGACGUAAUAGUUGUACUGCAAUCAAAUACUCCCUCCGUCCCAAAUUGUAUGUCGCUUUAGAAAAAAAAAUUGUCCUAAAUUAUAUGUCGCUUUACAAUACCAAUGAAAUAUUUAUGUUAUUUUUCCUAUUAUAUCCUUAACUAUUAAUUACUCUAUCUUCUUUCAAUUAUUUCAUUUAUCUUUUCCAUACCAUUUAUUAGGGAUAAUUUUGUAAAACAACUCAUAAUUUCUCUUCCCCACGCAAUAUUAAUUACAUUUCUUAAUACGUGUGAAAUGGCCAAAACGUCUUACAAUUUGAGACGGAGGGAGUAUAUUGUUGUAAGCUAAUCCAUCUAUCCAAGUCAUGAUCUUGUACAUACUCAUAUCGGGUAUACGGAAUUUGGCUGAAUAUAUCGGUGUUUCAUGAGUUUAUUCAAGUGAUAUUAUAGAUUAUUUUAUACAACAUGGAUCCAUAGCUUAGUUCAAGAUUUAAAAAACGUGAGAAUUUUAAUUUGGUAGGGGAUGACAAAUAGCAUAUAGUUUUUAGAAAACCAGUUAACAAUGGGAUAAGAUGGCAGCAGAUACACCUUUGCGAUAUCAAAUUUCAAUUAAUUCAACUUAAGAUUGACCCAUAGAAGUUGAUGGUCUGUAUUUGAAAAACUAAACAGAAUUGAAUUUUAGCCGAGCACCUUUAUUGAAAAAGCACCUAACAUGACAAUAUUAUUCAGAAACAAAAAAACUACUAUUAUACAGAUGCACCAAAUAAUUUAUUCUUUUUUGAUAAAACGGAAUAGUAUCUCAAAUCACUAUAAGAAUAAGAAAACUCGCUUUAUUUUAAUUUGCUGGAACGUUUAUUGAAAAUUAAAAGAGAAAACUAUAAAAUUCAGAAGCCCUGCAGCAAGCAUGCAAUUCCAAUUUUCCAAGAGCUAGUUAGCUAUGUCAAGUUGUUGCAAAUGAACAUUUUUUCAAGGCCAUGAUUGCCAGAAAGGACGAAGCAUUGGCAUAACCGUAAACUUCAUUUGUCCAACGUUGCAAUGUAAUCCAUUUUUCUCACCACAUGAAAAGUAAUAAGGCUUCCACUUGUUUAACACGAACUUGAAUCCCUCUCCAACACCUUGUGUGUGAUUUGCCACCAUCUUAGCCUUCUUCACAUCACAUUUCAUGAAGCUCUGCCAAGUUGGAAACAUGUAUACGCUGUGUGGGAAACUCGUCGCAUUUGGAGCAUCAUAUUUGAAAACUACACAUGCAUAAAUAUCAAUAUCAAAUUGUAAAAGGCUAAAUGAACAUUGGAGUAUAUGUUAGGGCUUACUAGUGUAUUAAUAUUAAAUUUAUAAAAUAAUAUAUAUGCCUCAAUAAUUUAUUAAGUUUGACAAAUGGAGUUUAUAAUAAAGGGAAGCUUACCAAGAGUAUCAUUGAGGUAAAAAGGACCAUUCUUGAUAGCCCAAUCAGAGUAGUUAUAGCCAAAGUGCCAAUUUUGAGAGCCACCAACAAUGAUGUUCUUAGGUUGUUGUUCAGUCUUAUUUAUUUGAUGAUGAUGAUUUCCAAAUCUGGACCACCAAUCAGUGUAGUUAAAAUUGCCAAAAGAGGGCCAGUCUUUGUUUGCCAUAGUAACCGUAAACAUUGAAGUGGUUAUAACUAGAAAGGUAAAGACAUGAACAAAGUUGGUGGUUGUCGUCAUUGUCUGAAUUGAUCUUAAUUUUCUCUUAGCUGCUUCUGAAUAAAUCAAAAGGAUUAUGUUAUGAUUUGGUUGGAGUAGUAGAGGGGGUUUUAUAUAGAGGUGUCUAUGAAAGGAAAUUAAAGCGUUAGGCAUGAAAUAUACGUAUGGUGGUGCAGGAUUACCAAAUUAUCUAAUUCAUUGGUCUUCAUAUAAGUGGGAGCAAAAUUUGGAUGUUAAAAAAAAAUGUAAAUAUUUUUUAAGUGUUAUUUGAAUUUUGAACUCGAAAGUCUUUCCUAUUUUAUAUUAAAGCAUUAUCAAAUUAGUUUAUGAGUUCUAAUUCAACUCGUAAAAGUGUCAAAAUUACGAGGUCAGAAGUUGUGAUUCAACUCGUAAAAAUGUUAAAUAACUUUUUUUAAAAACAAGUUGAAUAUGUAGCGUUGUUGAUAUUGGACAAGAGAGUAACACAAAUAUGUUUAUUCCCGGUGACAACUAUAUUAACCAUCAACAAAAGAUAGAUAACCUCUACCCACCUUUUAUUGAUGGAUAAAUACGAUUUUAUCUUCAGAUAUUAUUAUAUUUUUAUAUUAGCAAUAACUAUAAUCAAUUUUAUACAUUCGUAAGUAUAAGUCCUCAUGAUUUUCCUUAAAAAAAAAAAAAAAAAAAAAAAAAGGUUCUCGUAAUUUUCAUAUCUUUAAUUAUGUUAGUUUUUUUUUUUCCUUCAAUUUGUAAUAAAUAUUAUGAUCAAAAUAGAUUUUAACAAUAAGAUAAAGAGUAGUGCUUGUUGGGUCAUGAGAGGAGCUCGGGAGACCGUUCACAUCGAGGCUAGAACAACCGCACAAGGGAGAGAGACGGCACACUCUUAUCGAAAACCUUAAGGAAUGAGUUUAUGGGUCCUCUUACUUAUAAGUUGUUCAACCUUUAGUUUUUAUCAUAUGUGUGACAUAUAACUCACACUUGCACACAAUAGUGCUAGCAACAUUCUCUUUUUAACACUCUCUCCACCACUUACAUUUUUAUUGGGCUUAAAUUAUGAUGAGUCUCACUUUAAUAAUAGGUUUCACUAAAAGUGGUGGGUCAUACAUUACUUUCAUCUAAUAAAAGAAUAAGUGUUGAAAGGAGUGUUAAAAAGAGAAUAUCCUUAACAUUCAUCCAAGAUAAAUGAUCAAAUAUCUUAGUCUAUAUUUUAUAUCUACCGAGUGGUUUAAUUAAAAAAUGAUCAAAAUUCGCAAUUAGAGAGAAUGGGUUGGUACUUGGUAGUAAUAAAUCAUAAAAAUUAAAUUCUUAUGAGGAAAAGGUCAAAUGGGGUCAUGUUGGUAUUAUGAGGUCAAAACAAGUAUUCCUCACUAGUACUGCGCAUUUAACUGAAUCAAGUGGAGUGGAAAGGAAAUAAUUUCACAUACAAAAUUUCGGUGAAUAUUCCAUGAGUUAAUGUGAAAUGAAAUACACGCCUUUGAGUGAUGUGAUGAUGACGGUUUUGGUGACUGAAGAAACAAAUUAAAUAGGAAAAAAAAAAAAAAAAAAAACAGAAGAAAAAGCUAAGGCCUAAGAAAUAAAACUCAGCUAUACUAUUUUUAUUUUUUUUUUAACAAACAAAAAUGGAAUUAUAUUAACCACCAAAAGCAACUCUUCUAGUAUAAGGUGUGCCAUAAGAACUACUUUACAAAUACAGAGUUAUACAACCAACCAAAACAAACCAUUACGCGAUGCUCAAGCAUUGUAAGGGACUUGAACACCACUUAUCUGAACCAAACCUAAAGACCACCAAGGUAUAUCGAUUGUUCCAAUCAUAACUUUACGAAUGCUUUAUAUAUCUAAAGCAAUGGAUGCAAAUUGAUGAAUUGGAGGCACAAAAUCAUUGAUAAAGGAUAGCACACUCAUUGAAUCAAAAUAGCAAUUAAAAAUUUUGGCCAGGAUAAUCUCAACCAUUUUUGAGGUCUAAAGCGAAUUCUAAGUGUAAUGCCUAUUUAAAAUUAAUAUCUUUUUUGAAAAGUUUCGAUGUAAAUUUAUUUUUUUGGCCUUUUUAAUAUGCACAAUCCGUUUAUUAAAUUAUCUUAAUCAAAUUUAUUUAAUAUUUAUUUUUUAACAGAUAAUAAAGUUAAGUCAUUUAACUUAUUCAAAUAAAAAGUUAAGUUAUUUAAUCUUUGUUGAAACAUUGCGAAUCAUAAAUAAAAUUUUAUUAAUUUUAAUUUUGAAUAACUAUGUUCCACAGAAGAAGCAAUUACAUGAAUUAAUUGAUGUAUCAUUUUCUAUUUGUAUAUGAGGAGUAUGAAUCACAAAAUUAAUAUUUUCAUAAAAAUAUUGUUGAUAUCUCAUUACUAAUAAAGAAUAUAUACUAGGUGAAAAAAAGUGGAGCCUAAGGCAAGGGUUUACUGAUCUAAUAGAUGAGACGACUCUAAGUUUGAUAUUUUAAUAGUUGAGACGAAUUUGAGUUCGGUAUCCCGAGUGAUAAGCUAUAAAAGGACCGUGAAAUAAACGUUGAUAUGAUUCCAAAUAAUUCCUCCAAUCUUUGCUAAAUUAGAACCGUGAAUGCUACAUCAACAUCAAUAAUUAACAUUAGCAACCUCUCUAAAAGGAUGGCAAGUAACAACUCUCGGUGACAAUUAGACGUGUGGCUCAACAUGUUUGAGGUCUGAAACAAGUUUUAUAGUAGUAAUUUUUAUAAGAAAGGGUUAUCUAAAAAAUAUACACCAGUUUUUUUUGUCAUCGAAUAAUGGUCCUCCUAAACUUUUCUGUCUUCAAAAUUGGUCUCCAUUUGUUUUGGAACAAGGAAAACUCAAUUUAUCAUUUAUUAAAGUGUAUUAGAUACAAAGAGGAGCAAAUAGAACAACCAUAUUUACUUGACGAUUAACAUUCAUCUAAUACUAGACACAAUGAAACUAAACUCCAAAAUCCCUACACCUUUAGAAUGAAUAGCAUCAACUAGUAUUUUGGAAUCGCUCUCGAACGUAACAUUGUGAAGCCCUAAGCUGAUGACCUAAUUCAUUGCAUUCCAAAGACCCAUAUAACCUCAUCCCCUUCAUGAAUUGCUAGUAGCAUAUAUACAACCAACCUGUUAGAGCUGAACUGUUCUCACCAUAGCUGGUCAAGUUCAAAAUACUUACGUAGUCUUAUGAUUGCUUCUAGAAAAUUAAUUUGUUUUUCACUCUCGAUUUUUUAUAAAACACAUUACCUUUACCUUUAAAAUUUCAAAAUGCUCUUAUUGUAGAACCAAACAUAAAUAUUUGGGUGGUUACUCUUUUGGCUCCAUACAAAUGCACAAACAUUUCGGGAAAUAACUUCCUAACAACAUUUUGUGUGUUUUUAAAGGCUUUGGGAGAUAAAUCCGAAUGUUGUUUCUCGAGGUAAAGAGUAGAUAGGGGGCCAAAAGAGCAACCAUUAAAUAUUUGUGCCGCAUUGUUUCUGGGGCAAUGCAUUAAAAUUCAUCUAAUUAACAAAUGUCCAUGUUCGUGAAAAUUGUUACAUUCGUUUAAAAAUGGAGAAACAAAGAACAUCUACCAUAGUAAGUAGUGCUUAUUACCACAAUUGCUUUGAUGUAUCAAAUGCAUUACAUAUAUUUUGAUAAGUGCAAAUAGAAUAAGAAAACUCGAUUUAUUUUAAUUUAUUGGAACAUAUAUUGAAAAUCAAAAGAGAAAACUAUAAAAUUCAAAAGCUGCAGCAUGCAAUUCCAAUUUUCCAAGAGCUAGUUAACUAUGUCAAGUUGUUGCAAAUGAACAUUUUUUUCAAGGCCAUGAUGACCAGAAAGGACGAAGCAUUGGCAUAACAGCGAACUUCAUUUGUCCGACGUUGCAAUGUAAUCCAUUUUUCUCACCACAUGAAAAGUAAUAAGGCUUCCACUUGUUUAACACGAACUUGAAUCCCUCUCCAACACCUUGUGUGUGAUUUGCCACCAUCUUAGCCUUCUUCACAUCACAUUUCAUGAAGCUUUGCCAAGUUGGAAACAUGUAUACGCUGUGUGGGAAACUUGUUGCAUUUGGAGCAUCAUACUUGAAAACUACACAUGCAUAAAUAUCAAAUAUCAACAUUAUAUAAGAUUCAUGCCGUAAGUACAAUCGAAUUGUGAAAUGCUAAAUCAACAUUGGAGUAUAUGUUAGGGUUUACUAGUGUAUAAAUAUUAAAUUUAUAAAAUAAUAUGUAUGCCUCAAUAAUUUAUGAUUAAUCUUGACCAAUGGAGUUUAUAAUUUAUUUUAUAAAUAAUAAAGGGAAGCUUACCGAGAGUAUCAUUGAGGUAAAAAGGACCAUUCUUAAUAGCCCAAUCAGAGUAGUUAUAGCCAAAGUGCCAAUUUUGAGAGCCACCAACAAUGAUGUUCUUAGGUUGUUGUUCAGUCUUAUUUAUUUGAUGAUGAUGGUUUCCAAAUCUGGACCACCAAUCAGUGUAGUUGAAAUUGCCAAAAGAGGGCCAAUCUUUGUUUGCCAUAGUAACUGUAAACAUUGAAGUGGUUAUUAUAACUAGUAAUAAGGUGAGGACAUGAACAAUGUUUGUGGUGAAGGCCAUAUUGUUUUAUAUGAUUCUUGUCACUUAGCUAACUGUUUAUUUGUUAAAGCAAAGGGA